UGCGAUGUUGAACUUCCACCUUCAAUCAAUCAGCAAUGGCGUUAGCAGAAAUCACCAGAAAUGAACAACAAUGGCGUUAUGAGAAAUCGCGACAAAAAUGGCUUUAUCAGAUAAGGGUUAGGGCUUUUUUAAUUAGCCUAAUUUUUUCAUUUCAUUUUAAUCCUCAAUUUUAAAACAUUAAAAUGUCUUUAGAAAGCCAUGUCAGAUAAGUUUUAAACUGCUGGAUAAAAGUUUGCCACGCUAACAUCUGCACCGUUAAGAAUUUAACGUUGUCUGCCAAAAGGACCAUUUUGAACAACUUUUAAUGAAAUAUGAGACCUAAGUGAUUUUUUUUCCGAAGGUGGGAUCAUUUUGAACAAAAACCCCAAAAGAAGGGACCAAAUAAUGUAUUAAACCUAAAAAUAAUAAACAAAAAUAAAAUAAAAUAAAACUAAAAUAAAAAUUAAUCCUAUUAUUUAGUCAUCCGGACGAAAUUGGGUGUUGAUACUACAUAUCAAUUAUGUUACCAAUAAGGGAGUAUUGGUAAAACCUGAAGAUGAGUUUUGAUGAUGCUGCAACUUGUAGAUUUUGAAUGUAGUAGGAAAAUAUUUAAAAAGCAACUUGUAG
rnacentral:lncRNA from 1 species